AGUGAACGCUGGCGGUAGGCCUAACACAUGCAAGUCGAACGGCAGCACAGUAAGAGCUUGCUCUUACGGGUGGCGAGUGGCGGACGGGUGAGGAAUACAUCGGAAUCUACUUUUUCGUGGGGGAUAACGUAGGGAAACUUACGCUAAUACCGCAUACGACCUACGGGUGAAAGCAGGGGAUCUUCGGACCUUGCGCGAUUGAAUGAGCCGAUGUCGGAUUAGCUAGUUGGCGGGGUAAAGGCCCACCAAGGCGACGAUCCGUAGCUGGUCUGAGAGGAUGAUCAGCCACACUGGAACUGAGACACGGUCCAGACUCCUACGGGAGGCAGCAGUGGGGAAUAUUGGACAAUGGGCGCAAGCCUGAUCCAGCCAUACCGCGUGGGUGAAGAAGGCCUUCGGGUUGUAAAGCCCUUUUGGUGGGAAAGAAAAGCAGCAGGUUAAUACCCCGCUGUUCUGACGGUACCCAAAGAAUAAGCACCGGCUAACUUCG
rnacentral:rRNA from 1 species